CAGCCGCCGCGGUAAUACGAAGGGGGCUAGCGUUGUUCGGAAUUACUGGGCGUAAAGGGCGCGUAGGCGGCCAUUCAAGUUAGAUGUGAAAGCCCUGGGCUCAACCUAGGAAUUGCAUUUGAUACUGUUCGGCUUGAGUUCGGGAGAGGUGAGUGGAAUUCCGAGUGUAGAGGUGAAAUUCGUAGAUAUUCGGAAGAACACCAGUGGCGAAAGCACUCUGCUGGGCCGACACUGACACUGAGAGACGAAAGCUAGGGGAGCAAAUGGGAUUAGAUACCCCAGUAGUCCCUGUCUCUUAUAA
rnacentral:rRNA from 1 species